UGAGCCAGCCUGCACACCCAUGGCACCCACAGCACCACCAGUGUCAUCGAGUUCCAGCCCCAGCACCUCCCACCGCCGCCACACACCACACAGGUUCCUUCACUGACAGAAAAUCAACAGAAAGCAAAACCCAACUGUGGGUUGAGGCAGAAAAUCAAACCAGUUGUCCAAGCCCAAGCCAAGUGACAGAGGCUCCUUCCAGCAGCUGCACCAGGUGAGUUCCUGUGGGGCACUGAGGCUGGGCUGCUGCCCCUUGGGCACACUGGCAUCACUGGCCAUGGCUGGAAUGUGCCCCACAGGCACAGGUGGCCUCUGGCCAGGUGCUGGCACUCAGACGGUCAGACAGACAGAUGGCUGUAACACCAAGUGUAAGUGCAAAAACAGAUGGGGGCCCAACGGCACAUUUCCCAAAAACACAAUCCCUUUGCUUAAAGCAGCUCCCAUUCUGCUGGGAGGUGUGCAUGUGUGUGUGUGUGCCCAGGAGCAACCAGCAGCAGGACAGGGCUCUGUAGCUGCUGCAUCUCAGAUUUCUGUUGCUUUAAAAUACCUGGGAUUGAACUAUAACAAUUUUCACCCCAUCAGCCUAUGACACGUGUAAACCAAAACAGAUCAGCUACUGCCAACAGGAGCUCUGCCCACUACAGCAGGUGCCAGGAGGGCACACAGAGUCCUCAGAAGCCUUCAGCUGUGUUGUACUCUGGCUGGAGACAGGUCACAGCCUGCUGGGACAAGGUGAGGAGGUUACCCACUUGUUCACACUGUGCUGGGAAGGGCUCAUGGCAGGAGUGUGGCUUUUGUUCUUCUAAAAGGGAUUUGCUUAUUUUUGUUUCUCUAGGGAGCAGUUCCAGUGCACAGCCAUUGCACAGAGCACAGAAAGGCCAUGGCACUCCCACAGUGGGACAGCACCAACCCCAGAGCUCCUCCUCAACCACCUGUGCUCCAGCAGGGAACAUGUACCUGGCCAGUCACAGGAAAGCCUCUCCUUAGAAGAAAUUCCCUAAUGCACAGAGAGCUGGAAACAAGCAUUCCCAGCAUGAGGGCUGGCACAGAAUUCUCCCUGGAAGGUGCCUUAACCUUUGGAAAAAUUCUAGAGAAUCACAAUUUCUUCCACUACGUAACAGGUAGGAGGGAGGAACAGCCUUGGAACCAGGCAGGGAGAGCAGAGGAAUGUUCUGAACUCUCUCUGAAGGCUGGCACCAUUGGCACCCCCUCUGAACCUCUGAGAGAUGGUUGUGUUUUGAAGCAUAGACCCACUUCCAGUGCAGCAACUGACUCCAUUCUCAGCUGUGCCUGGACAGGCCACAGCUCUUCAUCCUCCCUUCACCUUCCUAGCCCAGGUAAAUCUCAAAUGUGUGCAAAAUGCCCCAAAAUGCAGCAGGGCCUUGGCUGAGCUGGCCCUCGGGUACAGGUGAGCAGGGCACUGUGCGUGCAGGACAGGUGGGGACAUGGCCACAGGUCAGUGUGGCAGCAGGAUGAGCCCUCAGCUGCUGUCUGAGGACAAAGACACCCUGGCUCUGGGCUGCACUUCCAGGGUGAGGUGUAACCUGUGCUUGUGCUUGAGCAGCUCUGGGUGUUUGAGUGACUGAAAGCAGGAGUGGAACAGCAGCAGCACAGCCCGAAGUGUGAACCCCCUCAGCCUGCCUGCAGCCCUGCGUUUGCAUCUCAAAGACAGCCUUUACUUACCAGAUUGGUUCUUUGAGAAAACUGACUGAGGGGAAAUAGCACAUUUUAAAAAGGUGGAAAGUGUGACUUAGCCUGUAAAGGCAUUUUCUGUGAAAAAUGGAGAGCUGUCAACUUUGGAUUAAAACAAAACCUGUGGUGCUAUUGGCUGGGGAGAAAAGCGUGGGGGAGGGAAGGGCUUCGAGGGAGGUGUUGUGCUUGACAUUCCUGCAGUGAGGCAGAAUGGCAGAUGGUCAAAAUAAUAGUUUUCUCCAAAUGGACAAGCUGAAGCAGCUUAGAAGUAAAAAAUAAUUACCAGGCACAUAUCGUGGGACAUAUUACUGCGUGUGGCUCACGGGAGGCAUUACCUGGCACAUAGAGUUUGUACUGUUCACAGAUCGUGAGAUGGCAUUACUGUACACAUAUUGUGGGCAUUAAUGUACAGGAGGCAUUACUGUGGUGUUUGUAGGAGGCAGAACUGCACGCGGAGUUUGGGAGGUACGAGGUGAACACAGAGCAUGGGAGGCUGAGCAGAGGAGGUGUGAGCUGAGCAUGGAGCAGAGGCAGCAAGGGAGGAGGAGGGCAAGGAGAGCUGUUCCUGAUGAACCACAGCAGAGGGGCCUGCGGGAAGCAUUGCUCUUACCUGUGGCUGUUACUGUACCGAGAGCAUUAACACUCUAAUCUAAAGGGAGAGAACAAAACCACAUCAGUGCAGGACCAAAAUGGGGGAACAAAACCAUGUCAGUGCAGGAGCAAAGGGGGAAAACAAAACCAUGUCAGUGCAGGACCAACGAGGGGAACAGAACCAUGUCACUGCAGGACCAGCACCCUGUGACUGCUGUGGUUGCAUCAACCUGACACAGCACACCCCAUUAAAGGCAGGAAGGGGAGCUCCCCUCAGGGACCUGCAGAAACACACCCCCAUGAACUUUCUCCUGGGGUCUGAGGACUGAAACAACCAAGGGAGGGAAUGCUGGCAAAAAUUGGAAUGAAUAUUCAUUGUGCUUCAUCUUCUGUCAAACCUGCUGCCGUGCAAUGGUGGCGUGCAGCUCCUUCAUGCCUCAGCUCCACGUUCAGCACUGUUGCUGGUCACACCAUUUAAAACUGACUAAAAUUUGAGGCUUCAUGGAGACCUAGAUAUCUGUGACACUAUAGCCAGGUUAAAACUCCAGGAAUUGAGCAGUGUAGCCAUCCUGGUGCCAGAAGAGCAAGUCCUUGAAUGCAUAAAACCUGUCCAUGAGCAGUCACACACCUGCACUAAGACACACACACACAGUGGAGGGCCUCUCACAGGUGAGGCUGCUUAAAGAGCAUUAAGCUUUCAAAAUACAUUUCUUGCAGGAGGAAUUAAAAACAAUUAAAAUAUAGAUGAUGGCAUUUUAAAUGCAAGGUUACCUUGCAGGAAGCCAGAGAGAGAUGGUGUAUUGCAUCUUAAAUCCAGUUUACAGAAUAAACCUGGUUCCUUCCCCAGGGCAUGUGCUCUAGGAAUGGCAUUUUAGCCACUGCUCAUGAAGCAGCUGAACACCCCUGAAAGCAAGGGUGGGUAAGACCAUGACCUGUAAGGAUGCUGAAGACUGGUACUUGAGAAGAACCAUGAAGUUUUCACAUGGGCUGUGAACUGUUCCAAUCCCCUGUUAACCUUUCAGCCAGGACAGGUCUGUGGAAAUCUUUGUUUUCCUUCCUAGUAAAUGCAAAGGUAAUAAAAUUCCCGAGAGAAUCGUUGUCAUAACUCUGCACAGCGUUCUGUUUCCAACUCCCCAAGACAGGUUCCAAGUACACUGUAAGCAGCAUCCUGAGCCUGUGUAGAAAAACCCAUGGAUAAUUGAAACUGGGUUAAAGCUACACACUUCCUCCAGUGCCCUGGAAAGCUGUAAGUGACACAGUAAAGAGAAUCUGACACUACAGGUUAAUAACUGGGGCAGAAUGGGCCUUAAAACAGCACCCACAGCUCCCAGCUCAGGUGGGAGUGCCUGGCACCUCUGUGGGCCUCCAAGGUUUGAGCACCUCGGAAAUAAGCCUGAAAUGUACACAUUGAACUUUAAUUACUCUCAAAUUGGAGUAGCUGCUGAUUAGUUUUGCAAGGCUCAGCCUCAGGCAGAGGGAUCCCAAGUGCUGGGGGCUAUGUGGGUGUCACAGGUGGGGCAGCCCAAGCCCUGCAGGACAGCUCUGCCCCAUUUCUGCUCUGCCUCUGCUGCAGGUCUCUGCCAGAGCCUCAGUGCAGAGGGAAAUGCAAAGGGGCCACAUUGCCUGGAGCCUUCUGCGAGCUGACAGCUCGAGCAGCUGGAGCUGUCACUGGGCAGAAGAGACGGCCCAUCAAGCUCAUAUUUCUGCCCAUCCCAGCACUGAUUGCUGGGAUAAACCCUCCCUCAGCACCUCCUCUCCUGGAGAGCGAAGCUGGGGGAGCACCCUGUGAGCCAAUUAAUUACAUGGGAAAGGCAGGGGGCCAGGCUGAGAACCCUGAUGCGGCUCUCACGCCCCCCUGCACUGUUGGAGAUCCCGAGGGGAGCAUCAGGCUGGAGGGGGAAGCAGUCCCAGCACCUGCCCAGCCUCGGGGGACGAGUUCAGACUGCCCACCCUCAGUGGGGGCACAAGGGACAGCCCCAGCACACUGGGCAGGCAGCCACUUCCUUGGGGCUCUGCAGGGAUCUGGGCUCCUGGGCACACCCUGCACCAAUCAGCCACAGGAAACUGGAGGGGGACAGAGCUGCUGCCCCAACACUUGGUGGCACCUGUGACCCUGCCCUGCUUAAUGCCAGACCAUUCCUGACCCUCACGGGGACACUAAGGCAGGAAAAUGAUGGGACAGCACUGAUAAGCAAGAGCACACAGGCAAGGAGCAGCUCCCACCUCUGCUGGUGCACUGCAGGAACUUCCCAAGGGCAGCCCAGCUGUGGCAGGCUCCACUCUGCUGAGGAUGAGGAACUACCUGGACUGAACAGAUGGGGAAGCCAGACAGGUCCCUGUGCCUCAUCCUGAAUAGUCCUCACAGGAAAGGAGGAAGAAGAGAAAGCCCUUGAGUCCUGCCUCCUGUGGUAACUGUCCUGGCUCCUCUGCUCCACUUCCCUCAGCUUUUCCUCUUUGUUCACUGCCGGGACAACCUGCACCACCAUGGCAGCACCAACACUGCACAGUGUCCCACCUCAGCCAUGCUCCAUGCUAGCAACAAUUCCCUGUUCUGCUGGGAACCAGGACAGUCAGGAAUUUCCUAAAUCCCAUAUAUUAGAAACAAAUUGUUCCGUUUCAGGCAAGGCUGACACACGGAUUAAACCCAACCCCUGGCACACUGCACAUCCUCUGAUACCAGGAACCAGCUACUCGGUUUCACAUGUGUAUGUUUUUAAAAUUCCCAGGAAAAUAGGCAAAAAUCCUACAUAUCUAUAUAUAUGUGUGUGUGUAUAUGUAUAUAUAUAUAUAUACACACACAGGACAUGGACACAGAUCUGACAAAACACCUACAGAGCUUCAAGGAAAAAGACAAAAUAACAAAAAUCCCAAAGUAGUAUAAAAACCCCAGAAAAACCAAAUUAAAGCAAAAUGAAUCCUUAGCUCAGUUACUGCUACUAAAAGCAUCAGUCCUGUUUAAAACAAGAAUUACUCUCUGGGUUUGGUUUUGUUUCUGUCAAAAAUCUAUUUUAAAUCUGCAUGUCCAAUUCAAAUAAUCCUUUUGCUUUAAAGUAGGAAAGAUAAAGCUCAGCACUGAACAAAAAGUGGUUUAAAAUAAGCCAGAUCUUGUUUGCUGUACAUUCAAAUAUUUUCUACAAGAACUUUAUGCAUGCAAAAGUCCAGAGACAAAAGGAAAGCAUGUGUCACCUUUGCAACAAAAAGGCUGCAAAAUCUCGGUUUUAUGUAAAUCAGCAGGCACAGCUCCCGGGGCUUUAAAACUAGGGAAUGCUGAAAACCUCAAUAGUUCCUCGACUCAAGUGUUGCGCUUGGGCAAUGCCAUAAUAUUCAUUUAAGAAUCCAUUUAUCAACAGAUACCACAUGUCCAAGUUUUCCAGCACAGCUCUUCUGAUGAUCUACUGAAAAGGAUUCUUUAAAAACAUUAAGCUGGAGAAUCCAAGAUGCUUUCUCUGCCCAUUCCACACUACCAUUAGCAACUAAAAAAGCCAAGAUUUACACUAUAUCCUCCCUGAUAACGCUGAGCAUUGUGCUUUAUUUUCCAAGUCAUUAGCAUGCACAAGAAUGACCUCAUGGUGAACAGAUGCACUUGGAUAUGGCAGUGAUUAGAUCAGUCCUCUCAGCAGUCAAGUGUGCCCGCUGCCAUUAACCCCUGAGGCGCCGGCGGCGGCAGCGCUCCGCUAGGGGGUUCCCUGGAACGCAGGGACCGGCCCUGGCCAGCACAAACCCCUCGCACAGGAUCCUCUGUGACUGCACAGUUCUCCUGGAAUACACUUCCAAAGGUUCACACCCUGCUUCUGCCUGCUGAUCUUACACUAAAGCACACCAAAGCCCCAAGGAGCCACUGAGGCAGAUGAAGUCGAGGUGCUGCUCUGCCCACUUCAGCUUCACCAAUAUUUUAAAGAACACACAAGUAUUUUGUGGAAUAAUUAUUUCUGGUUUUGGCUGAGAGAGCAAGAGCAUCAGCUUAAAGCCUGUCCACUAAAAGGAGAGAAAUCUGCAGAGGGAAAGAAUGAGAAUAAUUCAAUAGUGUUGGAUUAUGGAGGAUUUCCUGGGCUGCCUCUCAAACCCUGCCUAAUUAAAAUACAGCAUGUAAUGCACCAGUUUAACAACAAAGGGCCAUAUUCCCAUCUUUUGUUCCUAAUCUGCACAUCCCCUGCAUGAGUUUGGGGAUGGCCAUUCUGCCUAUGAGGCUGAAGGUAUCAGGGCUAUCUGUAAUCCACACAGGGAGUAUAAGGCUCUGCUCCACAAAACAUCAACUAGACAAUUUUCCUGCAGAAAAUGCAGCACCUGCAAGACUGGUGACAGGGAGACUAAGCCAGGGCAGGAAAACCACAUCCCACAUGAGUCUGGGGAUGCAUCCCCAGGGGCAGCAUCAGAAACACAAAAACAUCCAGUUCCAAGAAUUAUCUCAUAGCCAGCGAGACCCCAGUAUGUCACUGAGAGCUGAGUUUGAUUUCUCCCUGUGCUGGGGUAACUCCUGAGAACACUGCACUGGGAUAAGCAGCACCCUUGCUCCCUCACCCUCUCUGCUGCACACAUGCAUUUGCAGCACUGACAGCAUCACACCUGAGGGGCAUUACAAGAAUCAGGUCAGAUGAGAAUUAAUCUUAAAUUUACCUGAGCAGUUUAUGCUCAGCGGAGUCAGCAGUACCAGCUGGCUUGUACUGCCACCUGUGCCAGCUCCAUGCAUCCCACAGAAUCAUCAAGGCUGGAAGAGAUCAACAAGUCCAGUGGCCAAUCCAGCACCACCAUCAUCAUCCCAAGAUCAUCUCCUGACACUUCCAGAUACGAGGAACCCAGUGCCUCCCUGGGCAGCCUGUGCCAGUGCCUGACCACUCCUUCAGGGAAAGGUGCUUCUUUUUAUUAACUGCUCCCUGACUCCUUUUUUCUGUUUCAGAAUAGAAAAAUGCCCCUUGCAUUCCUAAGUGGCAGACAGGUGGAUCUUUGCCUGGAGCAGGCCUGGCUGGGGAACAGUGGAGCUGCUGGGACUGCAUCCAGCCUCCCUGCUGACCGCUGAGGGGCAUCUGAUGGAAAACACAUCCCCAUGGCCACAGCUGACACUGCCCCUGCUCAUCACUGGCUACAUAUGCAGGAGAAUCAGCAGGUAAUGUGAGGAGACUCUCUGAAGCGGAGAUUCUGACACCAGAAGUCAUGGCCAGCCUCCAGUUCAUGAGCGGGAAAUUAAUUCUGAGGUUCACAAGUCUGAAAACUGGGACCUGACUGGGGUAGGCUUUGCACUUUAAAGCAAUUAAAAUAAUUAAAUCAUA